UGGCAACAAACCAAAGGAAGAGAGAAGUGAUAUAGAGAGAGAAUGCAGGGAGGGGUAGCCGAAGAAUUUGCCAAACCAAGGUGAGAGGAGAUUGUGAGCUUUGAGAAGGGGAAGAACAUGAAGAAGGCAAAUGGCGACCGAGAAGCCACGAUGGAGUGCGGCGGCUGAGAAGCUAUGGCGGAGUGCAUCUUUCGAGAAGCUAUGGUGGAGUGCGUCUUCUGCAACUUUGCUGCAUCUUCCUUAUUAUGAUCCACGCACUUACUUGCAGAACUUUCAUCGGGGCUCUGCGCUGGAUGAACUAGACAAUUUGUCUAGAUCUUUCUCUGCUCGCUUUGCUAAUCCUUCUAGAUUAAGUUGUUAUUACUUACUAUAACUCCUUCCAGAUUCGCAUUUUAUAGCACUACUGAGCAAUUGUUAAUUAAGUUGUAGAGGCUAAAAUUUCCCGGAACUUGCAAUGGUUUGUUUCUUAAACUGAAACAGAAUAGCUCUAAUCUGUGAACAUUUUGAGGUAGAUUGUUGUUGUUAGAGGUAGAUUUGAUUUUGGUAAACAUUUUCCAUUAUGAACCUCUUUGUCUUUUUUGGAUCUCUUUAUCAUUGGGUUUCCCAGUAUACUGAAAAAAUUGUGGAGAAAUGAGAAGCCAGAGAA